rnacentral:rRNA from 1 species
GAUUAUGGCUCAGGAUGAACGCUGGCGGCGUGCCUAACACAUGCAAGUCGAGCGAUUACUUCGGUAAAGAGCGGCGGACGGGUGAGUAACGCGUGGGUAACCUGCCUCAUACACAUGGAUAACAUACCGAAAGGUAUGCUAAUACAGGAUAAUAUAAGAGAUUCACAUGGAUUUCUUAUCAAAGCUCCGGCGGUAUGAGAUGGACCCGCGUCUGAUUAGCUAGUUGGUAAGGUAAUGGCUUACCAAGGCGACGAUCAGUAGCCGACCUGAGAGGGUGAUCGGCCACAUUGGAACUGAGACACGGUCCAAACUCCUACGGGAGGCAGCAGUGGGGAAUAUUGCACAAUGGGCGAAAGCCUGAUGCAGCAACGCCGCGUGAGUGAUGAAGGCCUUCGGGUACGUAAAACUCUGUCCUCAAGGAAGAUAAUGACGGUACUUGAGGAGGAAGCCCGGCUAACUACGUGCCAGCCGCGGC